rnacentral:tRNA from 14 species
GCGGGCGUAGCUCAGUUGGUAGAGCGUCAGCUUCCCAAGCUGAAGGUCGCCGGUUCGAGACCGGUCGCCCGCU